AGGAGACAGGUGCUGCAUGGCUGUCGUCAGGCUCGUGUCGUGAGAUGUUGGGUUAAGUCCGCAACGAGCGCAACCCUUAUCUUUAAUUGCCAGCAUUCAGUUGGGCACUUUAAAGAGACUGCCGGUGUUAAACCGGAGGAAGGUGGGAUGACGUCAAGUCCUCAUGGCCUUUAUGCUUAGGGCUACACACGUGCUACAAUGGGUGGUACAAAGAGAAGCCAACUCGCGAGAGCGCGCCAAUCUCAAAAAGCCAUCCUCAGUUCGGAUUGGAGUCUGCAACUCGACUCCAUGAAGUUGGAAUCGCUAGUAAUCGCGGAUCAGCAUGCCGCGGUGAAUACGUUCCCGGGCCUU
rnacentral:rRNA from 1 species